CUCAGAUCCAUGACUAUGAAAGUAGCGUUUGUUUUGCUUGUGGUGACCGUUUUUGCUGUCCAUAAAAUAGAAAGUCGUCGUAUAAUUAUGAUCAAUAAUUUGCCGACCUUUCUAGGUUGCUGGAGGGCAUGGAGCAGUUGCAGUGAAGCAGCUGGUGACCUGUGGCAGAACUGCCAAGACAGAUGCCAUUGUCUUGGCUACAGUCGGGGAGGACAGUGCAGAAUAAAAUACAACGACCGCCGCUGCACGUCUGGUAAAUCCCACUACUGCAAAUGUGACGGCCGGAAGGAUGGGAGCGGAUCUUGGUGGUGUGGAUUCUAGACAAACCUUAAUAUCACAGAUGGAGGAACUUAUCUGGUCUACUUCAAGUGUAAUUUCCGGGACAGAAUCAAAAUUAUAACAUUUUAUUUUUAACCGAAAAUACAGUGAACAUU